GGGGUUUUGUCUGAUGUGAAGCCCCCGGCUCAACCGGGGAGGGUCAUUGGAAACUGGGAGACUUGAGUGCAGAAGAGGAGAGUGGAAUUCCAUGUGUAGCGGUGAAAUGCGUAGAUAUAUGGAGGAACACCAGUGGCGAAGGCGGCUCUCUGGUCUGUAACUGACGCUGAGGCUCGAAAGCGUGGGGAGCAAACAGGAUUAGAUACCCUGGUAGUCCACGCCGUAAACGAUGAGUGCUAAGUGUUGGAGGGUUUCCGCCCUUCAGUGCUGCAGCUAACGCAUUAAGCACUCCGCCUGGGGAGUACGACCGCAAGGUUGAAACUCAAAGGAAUUGACGGGGGCCCCACAACGGUGGAGCAUGUGGUUUAAUUCAAGCACGCGAAAACCUUACCAGGUCUUGACAUCCUUUGACCACUCUAAGAUAGAGCUUCCCCUUCGGGGGCAAAGUGACAGGUGGUGCAUGGUUGUCGUCAGCUCGUGUCGUGAGAUGUUGGGUUAAGUCCCCCAACAGCGCACCCUUAUUGUUAGUUGCCAUCAUUUAUUUGGGCACUCUACAACACUGCCGGUGACAAACCAGAGGAAGGUGGGGAUGACGUCAAAUCAUCAUGCCCUUAUG
rnacentral:rRNA from 1 species